rnacentral:lncRNA from 1 species
GUUAGUUUCUCCUCUCACUUUGUUUAUCUUAUCUAAUCUUAUCAUGCAAGGUUUUAAUUAAAUUGUCAUCACUUUCAAUCACAAUGUGAGAAAUUACAGACAAAUACAUUGUAAUGGUGUUGUGGAGCAUUGUUUUAAAACCUUGAUAUCAUGUAUGGAACAUUUUGUCUAAUGCAAAAUUUGAUUUGAGACAGAUGUGUGCUGAAGGACCGCACGAAGCCAAUUAUCUUCACCAUGGCAAGGUUGGACCGUGUGAAGAACAUCACAGGACUUGUGGAGUGGUAUGGUAAGAAUGAGAAGCUGAGGGAGUUGGUGAACCUUGUGGUUGUUGCUGGAGACAGGAGGAAGGAGUCUAAGGACUUGGAAGAGAAGGCCGAGAU